rnacentral:lncRNA from 12 species
CACUUUCUCCGUCCCAUGGGGCCAUUCUUCUCUCUAAUUUUUGCUUUUAUACUGUGUGUCUUCUCUGUGCUCAGGCUUCUCUCCACACAUGUGCAUGAUUUGUUGGGGGUCAUCACAUCUACCUGGAGAAGUGAUUUGUCUCAGGCUCUAAUGGAGGCUCAAGGAGUCCCCAAUUAGAUCAGGCACUUUCCUGUUCUUGCAAAGACAUAUCUUCAAAGACCCGAACAAUCUGUGUUGGUUUCUAUUUGUCCUUUCAUGUUUGAUGUGUCUUUUAUGUUUAUCUUAGAAGUAAUGUUAUGUGACUUGUGUGGUUUUUUUUUUUUUUUUUUUUUUUUCAUUUCAUUGACUUAUCUUUUAUCUCCUAGAAGGCAGGCAGGGCAGUGGAGUUAAUCAGUUUGUUUUCUAUAGCACAGUGCUAGCUGGGACUCCAAGAUCAACAAUUCUGUGUUUGCAACAGAUGCUUAAUAGAAUUUAAUUCAUAAUUUUUUUCCUCUUAGCAAAAUAAUAUUAAAAAUUGUCCCAUUUUUAGAAACAUAAUUCUUAAGCCUUUACACUGUGGUAAGGCAUAUAAUUAGGUGAUGAUUUGCUUUAAUUCUCCUGAGGUGGCCUCCACACAGUUUUAUUGGCAGGAUAAGUUAACCUUUUAUUGAGUGUGUAGCUGAGAUACUCCAUUAAUUGGAUUAAGUAGGACUCUCAACCUGGAAUGUUCUUUUGUAAAUUUUGAAUAUGCAGUUUGUUAGAUCCUUAUUACAGUUCAUGCAAGGUAUUCAUAUUAGGUACUCCCUGUCCCUGUUCAUGCAAGGACUGUGCAACCUGACAGUUCUUUUUAGUAUUUCUUAAACAUUGCUAUUUUUAGUAAUGAAUAAUUAUUUUAAAAACCUGUUAAUCUAGUUAAUGAAACGUGUAAUGCACAUUUAGGAUACAAUUUACUAAGGUCCUGUAGCCACAUCUGAAUGUGGAUUCCAAAUGUGAGAACCUUUUUUUCUUUUUUUUUUUUUUCUUUUUUUUUUUUUUUGAGAGAGAGGGAGAAAGGCGCAGGGAGGGGAAGAGGCAGAGCAGGAAUCAUCAGCAGGCUCCACACCCAGAAGGGAGCCAGAUGCCAGGCUUGAUCGUACAAUCCCAAAAUCAUGACUGGAGCUGAAAUUAAGAGUUGGAUGUCUUCACCCACUGAGCCACACAGAUGCCCCUCCCAGUGUGAGAAUGUUUAAAUAAAAUGAACAUGCAGUUGUAUAUGUGUAAGUUU